UUAAGUCCCGCAACGAGCGCAACCCCUACUGUCAGUUACUAACAGGUGAAGCUGAGGACUUUGGCGGAACUGCCGGUGACAAACCGGAGGAAGGUGGGGAUGACGUCAAGUCAUCAUGGCCCUUAUGUCCAGGGCUACACACGUGCUACAAUGGGUGAGACAGAGUGACGCGAAGCCGCGAGGUGGAGCAAAUCGCAGAAAAUCAUCCGUAGUUCGGAUUGGAGUCUGAAACCCGACUCCAUGAAGGUGGAAUCGCUAGUAAUCGCGCAUCAGCAUGGCGCGGUGAAUACGUUCCCGGGCCUU
rnacentral:rRNA from 1 species